AAUUUUCCUCGCGGGGUAUUUGCUCCUUCCCCCUCUUGGGACCCUAAAAACAUACCUUGAGCGUAUUGACAGUGCUCCCUGGAGCCGACACCACAAGUACCUUGCGCUCAAGGACUACGCUCUCCCUAAGCUCCAGUUCGGCGUAUCAAAGGGCCUGGUGAACAUUAAAGAGCUGAGACAGGCUGACUCCCUCAUCCGCGACUUCAUCCGUAAAUGGAGCGGGAUAUUCAAGGACGUUCCGCUGUCCUUCUAUUAUGCACGGACCCGAGAUGGCGGAUUAGGGCUUGUUGAGUACGAGCGCUCAGCCCGGGUGUGGUUCAACAACCGGGUUGAGAAGCUCAAGCGCUCCCAUGACCCCGUCAUCAUGGAGAUCCUUCAAAUUUACGUAAGAGACUUCGAGACAAAAUCGUCUCAGUCCGUGGUGUGAGGCUCAACACCAAUGAGCGAAUAACGUCACACUACAGAACGGACUUGCUGGCCAAGGUGACACGGCUGGGCUGGCUAACGCGCGGGCCGGCUACAAUAAUCUCUCCUUCCUGAAGAGGAACGAUGUGAUUUUAAGGGACUGGGAGUUUGCGUGGCCCUCCAGACGAUCUCCUCCUCCGUCACACCACCCCAUCCAAGAAGCACCGAUAUAAGCAGAGGCCCACAAAUCGCUGUGACCACUGCUCGGAGGUUCUAACCUAUCCCACAUUCUCCAGGGAUGCCCAAAACGCAAGGCUUGCGGAUCCAUCGCCACGAUGUGAUCAAGAUAUGCUUGUGGGCUCCUUGGCUAAAUUGGGCUUUGACGUCAACCUAAGCAACUACAUUCCGGUACUGACACUUUUAUUAAGCCGGAUAUUAUUCUGCAAGGCCAAACAAGACAAUCAUCAUUGACCCUUCAAUCGUUAGCGAUAAGUCGAACCUCAUCGAUGACUAUCGCCAGAAACUAAACAAGUAUGGCAACAUAAAUGCAACCACGGCAAUUCGUGAGAAGCUGGGACUCAGCAGCGACCAUGAGGUGGUUGUGAUCCCCUUCAUAUCGUCGUGGAGGGGUAUAAUGUUCACAAUAGUGUGAACGAUCUGCGCCGCCACUGCAAGAUUCCGCCGAGAUUCCUGGCCUACGUCCAGCUGCGGAUAUAACAGAAUCUCAUGGCAUCUUCCGGAGAUACAGGGACGGAGCUUUCUCAGCUCCCCCUCAACCAAUCGCCUCCUAAACUCCUUCGUUUCAUGGUGGGUGGGCACAUCCUUCUCGUCUCAUCCACACCCCUAAUGACUCUAAUAUAAUCUAUUUACAUUCCUAAAUCAUGUUAUGCUUUGUAAUAUUAUUCAAACAUGCCUAUUAUGGCUCAUACAUUUAUAUAAACAUGGUGAUAAACUUAUCGCCAUUAUAGUCUUAAAUGUCUAUCCAGUGCCCUUCGUGGCACUUUAUUACUUACCUUUCUUUAUUAUUAUUACAUUUCGACCAAACCUUUUUUUUCGUAUCUGUUAAACUUAUCUUUCUGUGUUUCCUCAAUAACAAAUCUUUGGAAGGGGAGCACGCUACGGUUGAGUCCGCCAUUUGUGCAAUUCGUUUAGUCAGUAAUAUGGAUGCAACGCCCAGACGGUACUUUGUUUCCGUCGCCAUAUCAACAUAAGUUGUAUUGGUUUCAAAUCUUUUCGUGCUCUCCUUCCGGAGUCCAAUAGCCAAAUACCUCGUCAUCUAAUUAGUGACGCGCAUGAAUGGAUUAACGAGAGUGUGUGGAGUGUUUAUCAGUUGAGGAGCUUAGAAAAACACAUUUCAAAUCCAAGCGUGGACGAGGACCUCCUAAUCGAGCACAUGGUGCUCAAGUUCUCCUACCGUCCGGCAAUGUCCAUCCGGACCCGGCUACCAAAACGCUACUGAACGGGAGAACAACGUUCUUCUUUUUUCUUCAAAGAGUGAAGGUGUGUUUUUGUGUGCUCUCUCCCUUUUUAAGGUGUUUUUAAGGUGUUGUGUAUUAUUUUCUUCUGAAGGAGCUUAACAAAACACUUCUCUUUUUUUCUCAGUUCUCUUUUUUUCUCAGUUCUCUUUUUUUGCAGUUCUCUUUUUUUCUUCAGUUCUCUUUUUUUCUUCAAGGAGUGAAGACGUCCCUUCUGUGAUCCUCUGGAUUAUCAGUGACUUAGCAGUGACUUAAUAGUGAUUAUUUCUGUUGGAGCUUACCCAAAAAAUUGGCGAAGAGUGCUACAGUUUCUGUUGCAUCCACGAGUGUCUAGCAGGACCUUGAAAAUCCUAGGGAGGGUCACGGCGGUAUUUCAUCAGCUCGUACUCAUAUCCGCAGCAGGUCUCCGAGGUGCGCAGCCUCUGGUCGAUAGAAUAAUGUAGGUAAGGGAAGUCGGCAAAUUAGAUCUGUAACUUCGGGAAAAAGAUUGGCUCUGAGGGUAGGGAUAAUCGGGCUUUGCGUGGGAAGCAGUUGUGUCCAUCGGUGGGCCUGGAUGAGUGGAUUUAUUUCUGCAAAUUCGGUCCCAUUCAAGGAUCUCUGUGGAUCGCCUUAGCUUUGCU
rnacentral:tRNA from 1 species